rnacentral:rRNA from 1 species
UAGUCCGGAUUGGAGUCUGCAACUCGACUCCAUGAAGUCGGAAUCGCUAGUAAUCGUAGAUCAGAAUGCUACGGUGAAUACGUUCCCGGGCCUUGUACACACCGCCCGUCACACCAUGGGAGUGGGUUGCAAAAGAAGUAGGUAGCUUAACCUUCGGGAGGGCGCUUACCACUUUGUGAUUCAUGACUGGGGUGAAGUCGUAACAAGGUAACCGUAGGGGAACCUGCGGUUGGAUCACCUCCUUACC